AUUGAUGCUUUGGAGGAUCUCUGAGUAUUUCUGAAGAACUAAAGAAUUAUGCCUCACAGCAGCCCAUAAGGUGCUCAUCCCACUUACGCAGAGGAAGAAAAAUGGACUGUAAAAGGAGCCCAUGGGCAAGAGGCUCUAGAAGGGAGAGAAGAGCUUUUCAAUGGCGUCUGUUUGCUCCUGCCGACCAGCCUAACUUACUUCUGCCUUUAACUGGCUGAAGGAGAAGAGCUUACAGGGUGAGCAGAACCUGAGACUGUUCAGCUUCACAAGGAAACAGUGGAUGUGCAGCAAAUAAAAACCUUUGGGAGAUGUUAAUCCUGUUAUAUGGAUGGUGCCAGUGCAAAGCUUCCUUGAAGUCAGCACUAGUAGGGCGGGCAGGUGAGAUAUGAGAUGGGUGGGACAAGAAUUCCAGGACACCUCUUGGGCCACUCAUAAACUUGUGCAAAUCCAGGGCUAAGGGUUCUUUGUCCCUCCUACAGCUUAGCUGCUCACAGUGCUGUGGCUGAAGGCUGGAAAACAGCACAUACGCUAAGGUGAAAAUAGCAGCACACGCUGUAUUUUGUGCUGUUCUCUCUCCUGACGUAAUCAAGUACUGUAAGUUUUACACACCAGCGCACAGAUUACUGGCAUUUACUAGGAAGCACGAGGAGUAGGCUGGCAACUGCUUGGAGGCACGCGGAAUAUUCAGGCAAUUGCUCCAGAGCAUGGGGAAUGCACAAGCAAUUCAAUUCCCAACUGGUUUCUAGGCAGGAGCUACCAAUUAAAAUUAAAAGAAUAAAAGACUGCGAGCUUGGGACUGAUGAUGUGCUCUGGAGAGAGGAGUUGCCAACAGCUUGUGCUACAAAGAUGCCUCUCUUUCAGUGGAUUUCAAAUGGCAAAAGAAACUCAGGUGUUUGGUUCAGAGGGGGCUGUGAGGCCUCCAGAUGCUUUGAAAGGCCCCCCUGGCUCACCCUGGGGCUGGAGGAAGGCAGACUUUGACGGAGAGGAGAUCCAGGGAGUUGGUAAGCGUGCCUAGUCCUCUGGGCACUGGUCUUUUUAAAACUCUUUUGAAAAUUGUUCUGAAUUGUUCUGUCUUCAGAAAUCGUGAAUUUCUCUUGCAGCACAGGUUUUUCCCUCUCACGUUGGCCUCAUGGUCUCUUUUUAUACUAGGUCUGAUUGGUAGAGUGUAGAGAUUCCUGCUGUUGGGAAUUUCAGGAAGGUGACUAAAGCAUAAAUAAAAUGAAUGUUGGGCUCUUUCCUGAAUGUCA
rnacentral:lncRNA from 1 species